rnacentral:misc_RNA from 1 species
ACACCUCAACUCUCAUGGUUUGCCGUGAUGAGCUUGGACUAUGGGGGUUUUGCUGGCCUAUGGUCGGCUCCUCUCAAAUGAAUCAGCUUGCCAGUGUUUGGUAGCGUCGCAGGUGUGAUAACUAUCUACGCUUGUGGUUGCUGCCAGGUAACCUUCAGCGAUGGAGGUUCUCUGGAGCUCAUAAACGUCUCUCCUCAGUGAAGACAGCUUUUUGAAC